GUUUUUUUUAUCAAUAAAAGAUUUUCUUCCCCUAAGAAAAAAAGAAUACAAGAAUGACAGAAGAAGCUGCGCUACAAGUGGAAAUAUAUGGGCUCCAGACAUGCCUACCCUGGGUUCCAUUUCCAGGGCUGCUUUUGAAAUAGAUGAUUAUACGAGAACUGUGGAAAUCCUACACAAAAGGAUUCACUUAAAGCUGGCCAUGAGCAGAAAGGAAAAGAGGCUAUUGCAGAUGUGGAUGAUGUGGAGGCCAGUGCAGCACUUAGAGGCCUACAAACGGCCUUAUUCUAGCAAAGAUCAAAUACCUGCUUCAUACUUUUGAUUUCUAUGAAGUAUCCAAUGUUUGUAGAGAAGGCAAUGAAGCUGCUCAUUUAAUACCAACAACAGUUGCAGCAGCACCUCAUCUCUUCUUGAGCGCUUGUACAUUCAAGAUUAACUCUUUCCUUU